rnacentral:rRNA from 1 species
GAUGAACGCUGGCGGCGUGCCUAAUACAUGCAAGUCGAACGCUGAAGGAGGAGCUUGCUCUUCUGGAUGAGUUGCGAACGGGUGAGUAACGCGUAGGUAACCUGCCUGGUAGCGGGGGAUAACUAUUGGAAACGAUAGCUAAUACCGCAUGACAACAGCUAUUGCAUGAUAACUGUUUAAAAGGGGCAACUGCUCCACUACCAGAUGGACCUGCGUUGUAUUAGCUAGUUGGUGAGGUAACGGCUCACCAAGGCGACGAUACAUAGCCGACCUGAGAGGGUGAUCGGCCACACUGGGACUGAGACACGGCCCAGACUCCCACGGGAGGCAGCAGUAGGGAAUCUUCAGCAAUCGACGGAAGUCUGACCGAGCAAGGCCGCGUGAGUAAAGAAGGUUUUCGGAUCGGAAAGCUCUGUUGUAAGAGAAGAACGAGUGUGAGAGUGGAAAGUUCACACUGUGACGGUAUCUUACCAGAAAGGGACGGCUAACUACGUG